rnacentral:rRNA from 1 species
UACGUAGGGCGCAAGCGUUGUCCGGAAUUAUUGGGCGUAAAGAGCUCGUAGGCGGCUUGUUGCGUCGACUGUGAAAACCCGCGGCUUAACCGCGGGCUUGCAGUUGAUACGGGCAGGCUAGAGUUCGGUAGGGGAGACUGGAAUUCCUGGUGUAGCGGUGAAAUGCGCAGAUAUCAGGAGGAACACCGGUGGCGAAGGCGGGUCUCUGGGCCGAUACUGACGCUGAGGAGCGAAAGCGUGGGGAGCGAACAGG